CUUACAGUCGUUAAUUUGAUGGAGUUCAAAAUGUUUAGUUUAGAGAGACUGUUUUCAAGAACAUUUUUGAGUCAGAGGAACGUUGUUGUCAAGAGCUCUCCACGGUUGUGUUCUUGCACAGUUUUUUUCCCAAAGCCCCUGUUUUUGAGAUAGCACAGAGACACUCUCCUCUUCUUCACCCUCGAAGACCAUCCUCGAAGACCAUCCCUGCGAGCAAGACCUACCCUCGACUUCGCCUAAAGGUCCUCAAUUUCUACACUUAACGUAGAAGUGAAGCUAUACCUCCCCCCUCCCUCCCUCCGUAGCAAUUGCAUUGGCAGCGAUCGGAUGGCCCCGGUGGGUAGGCGAAACUAGUUGUCAGAGAUGGGGGCACGGAGGGGGGUCUUGGCAGGGGAUGGUGUGGGCUUGUGAGGGAAUUGGUGCUAGAGUCGCUGACGAAGGUGUAGAUUAGAGGGGAAAUGAGGAGAAGGAAAAUGAUUGGAAUGUAAAAAUUCUAAAGACUGAACAUGGUUGCAGCUUGUCGUGUUCUUCUUCUGGACCUCUGGUGGAACCCAACAACUGAAGAUCAAGCAAUAGAUAGAGCCCAUCGGAUUGGACAGACCCGUUCGGUUACAGUUUUGCGGUUGACAGUAAAAAAUACAGUUGAAGAUCGCAUUUUAGCUCUUCAG